CCUACGGGAGGCAGCAGUAGGGAAUCUUCCGCAAUGGACGAAAGUCUGACGGAGCAACGCCGCGUGAACGAUGAAGGCCUUCGGGUCGUAAAGUUCUGUUGUUAGGGAAGAACAAGUGCUAGUUAAAUAAGCUGGCACCUUGACGGUACCUAACCAGAAAGCCACGGCUAACUACGUGCCAGCAGCCGCGGUAAUACGUAGGUGGCAAGCGUUGUCCGGAAUUAUUGGGCGUAAAGCGCGCGCAGGCGGUUUCUUAAGUCUGAUGUGAAAGCCCCCGGCUCAACCGGGGAGGGUCAUUGGAAACUGGGAAACUUGAGUGCAGAAGAGGAAAGUGGAAUUCCAAGUGUAGCGGUGAAAUGCGUAGAGAUUUGGAGGAACACCAGUGGCGAAGGCGACUUUCUGGUCUGUAACUGACGCUGAGGCGCGAAAGCGUGGGGAGCAAACAGGAUUAGAUACCCUGGUAGUCCACGCUGUAAACGAUGAGUGCUAAGUGUUAGAGGGUUUCCGCCCUUUAGUGCUAGAAGUUAACGCAUUAAGCACUCCGCCUGGGGAGUCGGUCGCAAGACUGAAACUCAAAGGAAUUGACGGCUGNGAGNGCGACGACGACGACGAGGGAGAGG
rnacentral:rRNA from 1 species